rnacentral:lncRNA from 1 species
GGGUUUUGGGAGGAAAAACAGCCUUGUUUUUUGUGGUGGUCACGGCUUGCAGCAGACAGGUGCUUGAAGGGAAGUGGUUGAAACAUGCUUGGUUAUUUUCUCCUCCCGUGCCGUCAUGAUGAUGUCAGCUGAAAUGGGAUGUUGUUUCAGUUGUUGACUUUCAAGAUCAAGCGGCUGUAAUCUACAUGAAGGCUGUGGUGAGGGUUGAGGAGGAUCUGUGGCAGCCGGUGUCGCAGUUUCCAUUGCCAGCUGCACUGGAGGAGUUCGCAUCAGGCCGUACGCGGGUGGAAAAGCACGUGCUCCAGUAUCACAGCAAAGUCAGGAUGUGGAAAUAAAUUCAUCAUCAGAGUGAAAAACGGCAUGCAGCUGUUUCCAGGAAAGGGGGGCAGCAGCGACUCUUUCUGAGCUCGUCUCUAUAG